rnacentral:rRNA from 1 species
GACGAACGCUGGCGGCGUGCUUAACACAUGCAAGUCGAGCGGUAAGGCCCCUUCGGGGGUACACGAGCGGCGAACGGGUGAGUAACACGUGGGUGACCUGCCCUCAGCUCUGGGAUAAGCCUGGGAAACCGGGUCUAAUACUGGAUAUGACUCCAUGACGCAUGUUGUGGGGUGGAAAGCCUUGUGCGGCUGAGGAUGGGCCCGCGGCCUAUCAGCUUGUUGGUGGGGUGANGGCCUACCAAGGCGACGACGGGUAGCCGGCCUGAGAGGGCGACCGGCCACACUGGGACUGAGACACGGCCCAGACUCCUACGGGAGGC